GAUGAACGCUGGCGGCGUGCCUAAUACAUGCAAGUCGAACGCAUUGUGGUUGAAAUGAUAUGAAGAACUUGUUCAGAUUUGAUUUUCAACAUUGCAAUGAGUGGCGAACGGGUGAGUAACACGUGGGAAACCUACCUCUUAGCAGGGGAUAACAUUUGGAAACAAAUGCUAAUACCGUAUAAUAAUUAAAACCGCAUGGUUUUAGUCUAAAAGAUGGUCUUGCUAUCACUAAGAGAUGGUCCCGCGGUGUAUUAGUUAGUUGGUGAGGUAAUGGCUCACCAAGACAAUGAUACAUAGCCGAGUUGAGAGACUGACCGGCCACAAUGGGACUGAGACACGGCCCAUACUCCUACGGGAGGCAGCAGUAGGAAGCUUCCACCAAUAGGGCGAAAGUACUGAUGGAGCAACGACCGCGUGUGUGAUGAAGG
rnacentral:rRNA from 1 species